UCCCUGGUGGCCCAGUGGUUAAGAGCUUGUACUUCCAAUGCAGAGGACACAGGUUUCAUCCCUGGUCAGGGAA
rnacentral:tRNA from 1 species